rnacentral:rRNA from 1 species
GACGAACGCUGGCGGCGUGCUUAACACAUGCAAGUCGAACGGAAAGGCCUCAGCUUGCUGGGGUACUCGAGUGGCGAACGGGUGAGUAACACGUGGGUGAUCUGCCUUGCACUCUGGGAUAAGCUUGGGAAACCGGGUCUAAUACCGGAUAUGAACUGCCUUUAGUGUGGUGGUUGGAAAGUUUUUUCGGUGCAAGAUGAGCUCGCGGCCUAUCAGCUUGUUGGUGGGGUAAUGGCCUACCAAGGCGUCGACGGGUAGCCGGCCUGAGAGGGUGUACGGCCACAUUGGGACUGAGAUACGGCCCAGACUCCUACGGGAGGCAGCAGUGGGGAAUAUUGCACAAUGGGCGGAAGCCUGAUGCAGCGACGCCGCGUGGGGGAUGACGGCCUUCGGGUUGUAAACUCCUUUCGACAGGGACGAAGCUUUUUGUGACGGUACCUGUAUAAGAAGCACCGGCUAACUACGUG